rnacentral:rRNA from 1 species
CCUACGGGAGGCAGCAGUGGGGAAUAUUGCACAAUGGGCGAAAGCCUGAUGCAGCGACGCCGCGUGAGGGAUGACGGCCUUCGGGUUGUAAACCUCUUUCAGCAGGGACGAAGCGCAAGUGACGGUACCUGCAGAAGAAGCACCGGCUAACUACGUGCCAGCAGCCGCGGUAAUACGGAGGGUGCAAGCGUUGUCCGGAAUUACUGGGCGUAAAGAGUUCGUAGGCGGUUUGUCGCGUCGUUUGUGAAAACCAGCAGCUCAACUGCUGGCUUGCAGGCGGUACGGGCAGACUUGAGUACUGCAGGGGAGACUGGAAUUCCUGGUGUAGCGGUGAAAUGCGCAGAUAUCAGGAGGAACACCGGUGGCGAAGGCGGGUCUCUGGGCAGUAACUGACGCUGAGGAACGAAAGCGUGGGUAGCGAACAGGAUUAGAUACCCCGGUAGUC